AUCCUUUUUGGCAGGGGGGAUGCCAUGGCCAUGAAGGUGAGUUUUCCAGGGUGAGGUUUAUCCAUUGCACUACAAUGUGCUGACAGCUGCGAUUUUCCAAAUGUGGGGAACUCAACUGCAUAAUUUGUGGUAGUGGGGGUAUUGCAUUGUGUUCUCCCUGA